rnacentral:sRNA from 1 species
AUGUGGAUUUCUUUCGGUGUGGCUCAAAUUUAUUCUCAUUUCGCAUCGUAUUUUAACUUUGUGGCAUGACAACACAUAAUAGUUGAUUACACCGACGUCUUGACGUUUUGUUUAUAUAAUUUAUUCGUUCUUUCCCACAUAUAAUGUUUUCUGUUGAGAGUUUAAUUUGCUUUGUUACUUGAUGGUUGUGUGAUGGUGUUGGUUGGUGAUGGAGCUGCUUGCUAGGUCCUUCCAACUGAUCUUUGGUUCAUUACUGGAUGACAACGUUUGAUCGCUGAUGUUCUCACUAAAUUAAACCCCUCUUCUGGUAGCUGAAUAAAAUUCAACGGCUUAAACUGAAUUAUCAUGGACUUAAGAUGAAAUCAAAUUAUCAAAUAUGUGUUGACAUGGAAUCAAAUAUCUAACCGCAUACCGAUUUACAUCAACUACCUUUUUUCGAUGGCAUUAAGCACCCAAAGAGCCUCGGCAUCUUUUGUUUUGAAUGAAUCAGCUCCUCGAUGGAAGUAUGAUGUGUUUUUGAGUUUCAGGGGUGUAGACACCCG